rnacentral:rRNA from 1 species
GAUGAACGCUGGCGGCGUGCCUAAUACAUGCAAGUCGAGCGAACAGACGAGGAGCUUGCUCCUCUGACGUUAGCGGCGGACGGGUGAGUAACACGUGGAUAACCUACCUAUAAGACUGGGAUAACUUCGGGAAACCGGAGCUAAUACCGGAUAAUAUAUUGAACCGCAUGGUUCAAUAGUGAAAGACGGUUUUGCUGUCACGUAUAGAUGGAUCCGCGCCGCAUUAGCUAGUUGGUCAGGUAACGGGUUACCAAGGCAACGAUGCGUAGCCGACCUGAGAGGGUGAUCGGCCACACUGGAACUGAGACACGGUCCAGGCUCCUACGGGAGGCCGCAGUAGGGAAUCUUCCGCAAUGGGCGGAAGCCUGACGGAGCAACGCCGCGUGAGUGAUGAAGGUCUUCGGAUCGUAAAACUCUGUUAUUAGGGAAGAACAAAUGUGUAAGUAACUAUGCACGUCUUGACGGUACCUAAUCAGAAAGCCACGGCUAACUACGUG